GACGAACGCUGGCGGCGCGCCUAACACAUGCAAGUCGAGCGAGAACCGGAGCUUCGGCUUCGGGGACAGCGGCGAACGGGUGAGUAACACGUGGAUAACCUGCCCUCGGCACCGGAAUAGCCCGGGGAAACCCGGAUUAAUGCCGGAUGGCCCCACAUCCCUGCGGGGAACGUGGGAAAAGGUAGCUUCGGCCUCUGGCCGAGGAUGGGUCCGCGGUGGAUUAGCUUGUUGGUGGGGUAAUGGCCCACCAAGGCGACGAUCCAUAGCUGGUCUGAGAGGACGAUCAGCCACACUGGGACGAGGACACGGCGCAGACUGCUACGGGGGGCAGCAGUGGGGAAUCUUGCGCAAUGGGCGAAAGCCUGACGCAGCGACGCCGCGUGCGGGAAGGAGGCCCUAGGGUUGUAAACCGCUUUCAGGAGGGACGAAGCCACUCGGGUGAACAGCCCAGAGGGUGACGGUACCUCCAGAAGAAGCCCCGGCUAACUACGUGCCAGCCACCGCCGUAAGAC
rnacentral:rRNA from 1 species